UACGUAGGGGGCAAGCGUUAUCCGGAAUUAUUGGGCGUAAAGCGCUCGCAGGCGGUUUCUUAAGUCUGAUGUGAAAGCCCACGGCUCAACCGUGGAGGGUCAUUGGAAACUGGGAGACUUGAGUGCAGAAGAGGAGAGUGGAAUUCCACGUGUAGCGGUGAAAUGCGUAGAGAUGUGGAGGAACACCAGUGGCGAAGGCGACGUCCUGGACCGGCAUUGACGCUGAGGCGCGAAAGCCAGGGGAGCAAACGGG
rnacentral:rRNA from 1 species